rnacentral:rRNA from 3 species
UGCUUGACGAUCAUAGAGCGUUGGAACCACCUGAUCCCUUCCCGAACUCAGUAGUGAAACGACGCAUCGCCGAUGGUAGUGUGGGGUCUCCCCAUGUGAGAGUAGGUCAUCGUCAAGCUC